rnacentral:rRNA from 1 species
AGCGAACGCUGGCGGCAGGCCUAACACAUGCAAGUCGAGCGGCCGUAGCAAUACGGCAGCGGCAGACGGGAGAGUAACACGUGGGAACGCGCCCUUCGGUUCGGGAUAACUCAGGGAAACUUGAGCUAAUACCGGAUACGCCCUUACGGGGAAAGAUUUAUUGCCGAAGGAACGGCCCGCGUCCGAUUAGCUUGUUGGUGAGGUAACGGCUCACCAAGGCGACGAUCGGUAGCUGGUCUGAGAGGAUGACCAGCCUCACUGGGACUGAGACACGGCCCAGACUCCUACGGGAGGCAGCAGUGGGGAAUAUUGGACAAUGGGCGCAAGCCUGAUCCAGCCAUGCCGCGUGGGUGAUGAAGGCCCUAGGGUUGUAAAGCCCUUUCAGCGGGGAAGAUAAUGACGGUACCCGCAGAAGAAGCCCCGGCUAACUUCGUGCCAGCAGCCGCAGUAA